UAAUUUUGCCAUCGCGAUGAGAGAGUGCGAACCAGGUCAGGAUGGGAACAUAGCAGCCUUAAACAUUUCUCUCAUGUGCGGUGGUCCUUAUCAAUAU
rnacentral:SRP_RNA from 1 species